rnacentral:lncRNA from 1 species
CCUUGUGGUAUGCUGGGAGAGAAGAGCAAGAGAUACAGCACUCUUCUGUCCAGACCAUGGGAAACAAGAGUAUUUGAAACUUCUUGGACUGACUUCCACUAUUUAAGUUACUUGUGAUGUCUUAAUUUUUUUUUGGCUAAUUUUUAUUGGAUACCUCAAUCACCUGUGGUUCAAGGACAGUUAAGCAAUGUGGAAAAGCUGGGGGCAAAGAUGAUCCUGUGGCCAGAAUGUUUAAGUCCUACUAAAAUUAACAUAUGGCAAUCAUACUACCAAAGAUGACAUUUACAAGUGGAUUCUUUGUGCAGGCAGGUUGAUGAUGAUCCCUCUCUCCUGAUCCAGGAUGGAUGGAUGUCCUCUGCAUACCUGUUCUCAGGUCUGUGCUCUCUGCUGACACCAGUACCAACUAGCUAACCAUGCUGGAGAAUUUUUCUGCAAUAAACUCUCUAAAUCCUACAGAUACACUCAUCUCUGUAUCCAUGGUACUGACCAAUGUCCAAAUAGAAAAUGAGUUAGAACGCAUGUGUGUGUGUGUGUGUUGUUUGAAAUCCAUUUCUUGUAAUGAUAUCUUACACAGCAGUAGGAUAUCAGAGCAUGUUCUUGUAAAUACACAAUGAGAAAAC